GUGGGGAAUUUUGGACAAUGGGCGCAAGCCUGAUCCAGCAAUGCCGCGUGCAGGAAGAAGGCCUUCGGGUUGUAAACUGCUUUUGUACGGAACGAAACGGUCCUGGCUAAUACCCGGGGCUAAUGACGGUACCGUAAGAAUAAGCACCGGCUAACUACGUCCCAGCAGCCGCGGUAAUACGUAGGGUGCGAGCGUUAAUCGGAAUUACUGGGCGUAAAGCGUGCGCAGGCGGUGCUGUAAGACAGGCGUGAAAUCCCCGGGCUCAACCUGGGAAUUGCGCUUGUGACUGCAGUGCUGGAGUGCGGCAGAGGGGGAUGGAAUUCCGCGUGUAGCAGUGAAAUGCGUAGAUAUGCGGAGGAACACCGAUGGCGAAGGCAAUCCCCUGGGCCUGCACUGACGCUCAUGCACGAAAGCGUGGGGAGCAAACAGGAUUAGAUACCCGUGUAGUCC
rnacentral:rRNA from 1 species